rnacentral:rRNA from 1 species
CCUACGGGAGGCAGCAGUGGGGAAUAUUGCACAAUGGGGGAAACCCUGAUGCAGCGACGCCGCGUGAGUGAAGAAGUAUUUCGGUAUGUAGAGCUCUAUCAGCAGGGAAGAAAAUGACGGUACCUGAUUAAGAAGCCACGGCUAACUACGUGCCAGAAGCCGCGGUAAUACGUAGGGGGCAAGCGUUAUCCGGAUUUACGGGGUGGAAAGGGAGCGUAGACGGCAGCACAAGUCUGGAGUGAAAUGCCGGGGCUUAACCCCGGGACUGCUUUGGAAACUGUGCAGCUAGAGUGCAGGAGAGGUAAGUGGAAUUCCUAGUGUAGCGGUGAAUUGCGUAGAUAUUAGGAGGAACACCAGUGGCGAAGGCGGCUUACUGGACUGUAACUGACGUUGAGGCUCGAAAGCGUGGGGAGCAAACAGGAUUAGAUACCCUUGUAGUC